rnacentral:lncRNA from 1 species
GUGUUUACUAUACGUUACUAUUACAUGCUAUUGUAUAUUGGUAUUUUGUUUCCUUUGUUCAGAUUAUUAUUAACGCUUUUUAUGCUGGAAUUUCUUAUGCAUUAAUGCUAUAUUGUUUCUGUUUUGUUUUUGUCUCUGUUUUGUUUUACUACUGUUUUUUCCCCUAACCCUAUGAGCCGAGGGUCGAUUGGAAACAGCCUCCCUGCC